rnacentral:lncRNA from 1 species
CAUAUAUCUCUCCAUGUAGAAGCCAAAAUGGACUUGAAGAAAUGUCCUUAAACAUACUGAAUGACAAGACUUCAGUGCCAUGAGGAACGGUGGCAGUUUCUUAACCUUUACCGCAGCACACAACGAAACAGAAAAAAUAACUGACUCUAUAUGGAACCUUGGGGCAAUAAACUUCUUCCAGACCUUAAUUAAGGUUUAAGGCCCAGCUUUGGGAGAAGCCACUAUGGUGACUCUAUCCCGAGUGCAACUAUAACACUAACAGUAAUGGAGAAGGCUGCCAUCCCAGAUGUGUAGGGUCCUCAGGUCAAGACUCUCGUCCACCCCCAAUGAUGACUCAGAAAGAACUCAUGGAGGAUAGGACCAGUGCUGCUUCUACACCCUUUCAGCCUCAACUAGAACAAGCGGCACUUCCACAAUGUAAACAGUCACCCCAUAGACUGAGUAGCACAACCAAACAGCAGUGGGAUUUCAUAGGUAAUACCACAGUCCAAGAACAUUGUGAGAAGAGCAACCAGCCCAGGUGUCCCUUGAGUCCCAGCCCCUCUCUGCUGACUGAGCUAGACUCCUGGCUGGUGGUCACCUGCUACAUCGUCAACCAGGCAACAGUCAGACAAACAGGAGGGUAGCAGGUUUCUCUGCAAGGCGAUCAAGGUGGGUGAGCAGCCGCUGCCAAGCCCCGAGGUGCUGUGUCCCAGCUGCCAAUAUCUUCACGGGGUCACUGAGCAGGCAUACAGUGUAUCCCAUUUGUUACCAGGAG